AGAGUUUGAUUCUGGCUCAGGACGAACGCUGGCGGCGUGCCUAAUACAUGCAAGUCGAACGCUUUUUCUUUCACCGGAGCUUGCUCCACCGAAAGAAAAAGAGUGGCGAACGGGUGAGUAACACGUGGGUAACCUGCCCAUCAGAAGGGGAUNACACUUGGAAACAGGUGCUAAUACCGUAUAACACUAUUUUCCGCAUGGAAGAAAGUUGAAAGGCGCUUUUGCGUCACUGAUGGAUGGACCCGCGGUGCAUUAGCUAGUUGGUGAGGUAACGGCUCACCAAGGCCACGAUGCAUAGCCGACCUGAGAGGGUGAUCGGCCACACUGGGACUGAGACACGGCCCAGACUCCUACGGGAGGCAGCAGUAGGGAAUCUUCGGCAAUGGACGAAAGUCUGACCGAGCAACGCCGCGUGAGUGAAGAAGGUUUUCGGAUCGUAAAACUCUGUUGUUAGAGGAGAACAAGGAUGAGAGUAGAACGUUCAUCCCUUGACGGUAUCUAACCAGAAAGCCACGGCUAACUACGUGCCAGCAGCCGCGGUAAUACGUAGGUGGCAAGCGUUGUCCGGAUUUAUUGGGCGUAAAGCGAGCGCAGGCGGUUUCUUAAGUCUGAUGUGAAAGCCCCCGGCUCAACCGGGGAGGGUCAUUGGAAACUGGGAGACUUGAGUGCAGAAGAGGAGAGUGGAAUUCCAUGUGUAGCGGUGAAAUGCGUAGAUAUAUGGAGGAACACCAGUGGCGAAGGCGGCUCUCUGGUCUGUAACUGACGCUGAGGCUCGAAAGCGUGGGGAGCGAACAGGAUUAGAUACCCUGGUAGUCCACGCCGUAAACGAUGAGUGCUAAGUGUUGGAGGGUUUCCGCCCUUCAGUGCUGCAGCAAACGCAUUAAGCACUCCGCCUGGGGAGUACGACCGCAAGGUUGAAACUCAAAUGAAUUGACGGGG
rnacentral:rRNA from 1 species